UAUAGCUCAGUGGUAAAGCAUGUGCUUCAUGAGCACAAGGUCCUGGGUUCAAUCCCCAGUA
rnacentral:tRNA from 1 species